rnacentral:lncRNA from 1 species
GAUCCCUAACCCACUGAGCAAGGCCAGGGAUUGAAACUGCGUCCUCAUGGAGGAGAAGAAAGCGAGGUGAAGUGGGGGUGGACCUCCAUCCCUUCCAGAGGUCCCCUGGGACACGUCUGAGCAGAUUGGCACGAUCCUAGCUAUAAGCCCAUGACCAAGACAAAAGGAGUGAACGAGUAUUUACUGUAAUAUAGCCUGGCCAAGACCUACCCAGCUGGAAAAAGCCAGGCUUCUGUACUGAGAUGAUCCACAAAAAAUGGUGGAAAUGGUCCUUCGCGUUGUUUUUCACACCACUGCCCAAGCUGGACCCGUGUGCAGGCAUUGGUGAGUACAGGCUGACAGCCCAGGAACAGCCCUGGGUUCUAGACAAAGCCUGGGAGGAAGCGGGUUGCCUCCACCAGGAGGAUGCGGCCAACACCCACUCCCCUGGGAUGCCCUGAACGGCUCCACAUCACACGUCAUCCAGAUGCAACACCCUCAUUCAUCUCCAAUCCCUGCUUCCCAGCUUGGAAGCUGCUAACCAGUCUCCCAGGCCAGACACAUCCCCCCUCAGCUGGUACUACUCCCAGAUCUUUCCAGACCCCCACCUGGAUGGCAGCUUUGGGGCUCAGCAGCCAGACUUCAUGUCCACGGAGUCUGCAUUUCCUCCAUGAGGCUCCACCUUGGAGUAAUGGGCUUGGGGUCUCCUUCCCAAACGGGGGAGAGGCACAUGUCCAGGCAAACCUGGGGGGAAGGGAGCAAACCGGUUCCCCCUGCCAUGUCAUCUUGUCCCCACUGCCUUGCUCUCCCCUAGGGCCUCUCCCUGUUCACCUCUGCACCUGCCCUCCUCUGGGUGGGGCUGUGUCCCCUCAGGUGGCAUCUCCUUCUAGGGGUGGCUGCAGGGAGGAGAGGCCAGACCCCUUCAGGGUUUCUGUGAAGGAGGCCGUGGCCCUGUGGUGGGUCCUGGAUUCCCAGAGCCGCCAUCUUUGGUCCUGGGCUCCCACCCACGGGCCCUGCUGCAAUGCUGGGCUGGAGAGCACAGGGCUCAAACCCACAGCUUUGGCACAGUUGUCUGGGUUCCCACUCCUAGUCAUGGGUUUUAGGGAAACACUAAAUCCCUGAGCCUUGGUGUCCUCAUCUGUGAAAUGGCGUUAGUAGCACAAGCCACAGUCCCUUUCUAAAACCAUUGGUUCAUACUCCAGAAUUCAGAAAUUUUCAGCCUCACCAGGUGACAUGGUACAUCUCCUCAAUUUAACACGACACCCACUGGUGUCUGAAAAUACCUUGUAGUGAAGCACAGUAAUCUUUCUGCAACUGCACUUUUGUUGUUGUUGUUGUUUAUUAAGUUAUUUUUAUUUUGUUCCCUGAUAGCUGGUUGACAGUGUUCUGUCAGUUUUCUACUGCACAGCAAGGUGACCCAAUUACACAUACAUAUAGGCAUUCUUUUUUCUCACCUUAUCACGCUCCAUCAUAAGUUGCAGCUGUACUUCUGAACAUUCAUACCAAGUGAAAGAAAUAAAGACCAUGAAGU